rnacentral:rRNA from 1 species
AGAACGAACGCUGGCGGCAUGCCUAAUACAUGCAAGUCGAACGAAGGCUUCGGCCUUAGUGGCGCACGGGUGCGUAACGCGUGGGAAUCUGCCCCUUGGUUCGGAAUAACAGUUGGAAACGACUGCUAAUACCGGAUGAUGACGAAAGUCCAAAGAUUUAUCGCCAAGGGAUGAGCCCGCGUAGGAUUAGCUAGUUGGUGAGGUAAAGGCUCACCAAGGCGACGAUCCUUAGCUGGUCUGAGAGGAUGAUCAGCCACACUGGGACUGAGACACGGCCCAGACUCCUACGGGAGGCAGCAGUAGGGAAUAUUGGACAAUGGGCGAAAGCCUGAUCCAGCCAUGCCGCGUGUGUGAAGAAGGUCUUCGGA